AGUGGCGAACGGGUGAGUAACACGUGAGCAACCUGCCCUUGGCUCUGGGAUAGCCUCCGGAAACGGGGAUUAAUACCGGACAUGACCUCUCCUCGCAUGAGGGGGGGUGGAAAGUUCUUCGGCCAGGGAGGGGCUCGCGGCCUAUCAGCUUGUUGGGGGGGUAACGGCCCACCAAGGCGACGACGGGUAGCCGGCCUGAGAGGGCGACCGGCCACACUGGGACUGAGACACGGCCCAGACUCCUACGGGAGGCAGCAGUGGGGAAUAUUGCACAAUGGGCGGAAGCCUGAUGCAGCGACGCCGCGUGCGGGAUGAAGGCCUUCGGGUUGUAAACCGCUUUCAGCAGGGGCGAAUUUGACGGUACCUGCAGAAGAAGCGCCGGCUAACUACGUG
rnacentral:rRNA from 1 species